rnacentral:rRNA from 1 species
CGACCGGCGCACGGGUGAGUAACACGUAUGCAACCUGGCCGUCACAGGUGGAUAACCGGAAGAAAUUCCGACUAAUACAGCAUAACACUCCUGAGGGACAUCCUUCGGGAGUCAAAGGAGGCAACUCCGGUGACGGAUGGGCAUGCGGCGCAUUAGGUAGUUGGUAGGUAACGGCCUACCAAGCCGACGAUGCGUAGGGGUUCUGAGAGGAAGGUCCCCCACAUUGGAACUGAGACACGGUCCAAACUCCUACGGGAGGCAGCAG